AGGGUAAGGAAGAAGCGAACGUACCCGAUACCGACACAGGUGGAUUGGGGAUAUGUCCUAAGGCUUAAUAUAAGCAACCGGCUCGAAGGAACUCGGCAAUAUGCUUACGUGGUUAUCGACAAGUAAGGGCUAUAAAUGCCAUAGUAUACCAGAAUGCGACGACUGUUUACUAAAAACACAAGACCCUGCUUAAUGUAUACAGCUAUAUGACCUAUACACCGUAGAGCAUAUAGUACGCAUGUAAAGGGUCUGACAUCUGCCCAUUGACUAAGGUAAACGGCUGCUGUAACUAUAACGGUACUAAGGUAGCAAAAUCCAUUGUCGCUUAAUUGGCGACGCGCAUGAAUGAUGUAACGAUCGCAUUGCUGUCUCCGAGCCGGGCUAUGCGAAGUUGACCUCUCCGUGCAGAUGCGGAGGCGUGUAGGUGGGACGAUAAUACGCAUUGUCGUAUAAUGCUAGUAAUAGGCUAAGCAUUAUAACCUUUGGGUCCUAUUCAAGGAGAUAAGCUGUAUAGGCUACGUAAGCCACAUAAGCUAUUAACUUGAAGCUAUGCUCUAUACUAACUAUAGAUAUGGCUCAACGACUAUAGGUUAACAGUAAGAUAACCUCAACCCAACAGCUUAACUGGCGUAUAUAUACCAGGAUAAGCCCUUACAUGGGUUAUAAGCUGAAGGCAUAGUCUGAACUCAAUAGCGUCGCUAUUGAGUAUAACGUAAUUGAAGACCCUGUGCAUCUUAACAGGCUGAUGAAGCUAAUAAACGGAUACUUGUGGGAUACCCGUAAGGCUCACCA
rnacentral:rRNA from 1 species